GAAUACAUGAAAGUGAUGUUUGUUAGGAUGGUAAUAUUAGUGAUUUUCCCCCCCACUACUUUCCAAACCUUCUAUAAUUUCAUUGCAGUAUACUGGCAUUUUAAAAAAAAGUCCCCUUAGUCUUCCUUCCAACAGUUUGCCUAGACUACAACUUAAAAUGCAAGAUAAGCAAAAUCGCCUUACUCUCUUUUUCAGGAUCCCUUUUUUAAACUUCCACCCACUUAGUUUAUUGAGAACAACCUAAGAACAACCCAAAGAAGGAAAAAUGGGAUAAACAUAGCUAUCCCACUCUCUGACUCCAGUUUCAUUUUACUGGCUUUGUCAGAAGCGGAAGCCCAGUCUAGCCAAAAUUUCAGCAAGGAGUCUACACACAGGGCAAUUCCAUGCUCUUAUACUUCUGUGGGUGAAGGCAAGUCACUGCUGGCAGGAGAUUAUACUUGGAAAGAUUAGACAUUCCCCCUCCUUAGGAAAGAAUAGUGAGAAAGGGGAAGCUGGGAAAGAACCCCUAUUCAUAUCUCUUCUCUGAGAUUUUGUGUCCAAUCUCCAACUACAGAGAAAAGAAUCCUGAGCCAUUUAAUUUUUCGCCACAAAAGAUCCUCUUCUGAAUAAUAAAAAAUUGUCAGUCACCACCUCUGCCGUCUGCAAACCCACCGAGAACCUAUUACCGUCAUCAGGAAUCCCAGACUAACUUUCCCCAAAUUAAGCAAUGGGGCUCUGCCAAAAAAAAAAAGUGUAACACUUGUACAUGUGUGUGGGAGAAUGGAGUACAUUUAAGGCACACUGCUAUCAGGCAGUUUUAAGGAGCUAUUAACACUGGUGACAGUAACAGGGAACUACAUCUGUUUCUCCUUGAGAAAAAUAGCUUCAGUGAUAUCCUAUUUCAGGAGUACUGCAUGAAUUCUUGGCAUGCAGUCUUCAGAUGUUCUAAGGGUGGCUAUUUUCUUUUUUUGAGAUGUAAGAGCCAGAGAGGGAGAAUGUAUCAUCAUCACACGAGAUUCUGUGAAACCCGUUCAGUUCUCACUACAAUCGUGGCCUUUUCUGCUGUUGCUAUACCAGAACAUUCACAAGAGACUCAAACGGCCCCCAGCUCUAACAGCAGCCCAUGUGGCCUUUCACGGCUAAAGUGACCCAGCUGGCACCACUGUAAGGUCUACGAGCAGACUUACACACUUCAGUAAGAAUGAGAAGAUGAGAGUGCAAACAGAAGAACCUUGCUGAUUUCUAGGCCAAAGGACUAAAAGAGAAAGAAAAAGGACACCAUCAUAGACACAUAAAAGAAAAGGGAACAUCCACAGGUACCUGACAGGCUCUGCUGCUAAAACCUAAGCCUUAUAAGAGAUGCCUCUUUCCCCAGCACCUCUACUUUUACAGAUUAAGGUUUUACAUAGAGAUAGUCACCAACUUAUAAUGGCUCUUGCCUUGAAUCACAGCCAGGGUGGGAGCCAAUAGAUCUUGAUGCCCAAGGACAGUCACCCUAACGCUGUCCAGAAAUUGCUUCAUUGGUCUCAGAUUGCUAGCCACUAGCAGCUUCAAAUACCCAUCACAAAACCCUCAGCCCCAGCCUCAAGCUGCAUCCUUCAAUCCCACCAACAUGGAAAGAGCCCUCCCACAUUACAGACAUUACUGCUCACUGCUCGAGUUUCCAAGUUUUCUGCAAUGUAGCAACAUAACUUAAGAAUAUUAACUUUUAAAAAAUAAUUCCACUAAAUGAAAUUUCCCUAUGGUGAGAUAUGUGGGUGGCCCUUAGACUGAAGCCAUCUUGAGGGGAAACCAGGAGAAGGAGUCUCUAUUAUCAUUUAUGUAUUUGUCCCAAUGCUUACCCUUAACCCAAGUGUCCUUCCCUCAACACUCAAGUCUACACUGGGGCAAUAUUUGCUUUCAAAGUUAAAGAAAGGAAAAAAGGCACUGAGCCUCAAUUUGUUCCUUCUCAUCUUUCUCCUACUUUUUGUGGGAAUGAAUGCCCCCUAAACAACACUCCCCUACUGUCCAGGCAGACAGAAGAGGGAAAAUGAAUCCUGCUUGCCAGCUUCAAUUCAGGAGCUCAGUAAAAUGCUUCAUACAUGGCAGUUACACAACCGGGCACAGUGGCUUUGCUGACAUUCCGGUCUCCACAUGGGCAUUUGAGACCUGUGAGUGGGCCUCAGAGCCCUGCUGCUGCCUGUCAGUAAACUGCCCUUGGUAAAUGGGGAACUUGAGGGGAAAGAGGCACAUGUGCCUGCAAGCAGCUCUGCUACAGACAUUCUGCCCAGUUCACUUGUUUGGGGAUGGAAAUGAGGACAAUUACAGGACUCACUAAUUAUUUUAAAGUAUUACAAUUCUCUGAGCCCACAGACAGAUACCAGCAGUUACCUGGUUGUCAGAAGAGCUAAGGAUAUGGAAAAAGAAUACAAGGAAAUUAAAACAUAAGGCAAGUUUUUAUCUGGGAGAUGGAAAAACAUGGAGGGAAAAAAACAAUGCUUAACAGCAACAAACUUAAAAUAAGUCCUUGCUUUUAAGAAGCAAGGUGAAUUAUUACUUUUGGAAGGUACAUAUAUGUCUCUCUGGUGGGAGAGGGUAGCUGUAGAAAUUGCUGCCCCAGCAAUAGCAAAGGAGGAAAUCCCCUGCCAGGAGAUGCACCAUCACAUAAGAGCAAGUUCAGUCACCACAAGAUGGAGACCCGCCAGGAAACCAAACUGCUGAGGUCCCUUCAUCGGCCAGCCUGCAUCUGUUAAUACCUUAUGCUACCUUUCAGCAGGUUAAACACUGCAGUACAAAGUGGGAUGGGGGGAAGCAAGCCCCUAUCUGAGUCCCAGAUACCUGUGCUAGCUGUGAGUGAGAAUUUGUUCUGUAGUCCAUUUCUACUACAAUAUGCAAAAAGCUGCCCUGUGGACAGGAAGUCCUAUCUGUUCAGCUUCAUACCCAUAUUCUCUUUUAUUUAACUCAUUGGAAAAAAGCUCCUUAAGCAGCAAACGGCCACCAAUACAAAUUAAGAACCUAACCCAUAAUAAAUUGACUUAAAGACUGUGAACUCCAAGGCAUGCCUGGGUUCUUACUGCCGCAUCCCCAAUACCUAGCACAGCGCCUAGCAUACACUCUGUAUGAUAUAAAUACUUGUGAGUACUGAAAGAAAGUGAGGUAAAGAAAAUGAGUAAAGAAAGAAAGAGUAAUUGAAUAUUGUGCAGACAUACCAUAAAUGUAUAUCUUGAAGAGUUAAGGAUGCUCCUGAUCUGAGAAACAGCCUGAAGAAGUAGUGCUUUGAAAAGGUUCUAGAAAGACUGCAGUUUCAAUUUUACGAGGUAAGCAAACUAAAAACUGACAGUAUAAUCUAGUAGUUAAGAGCAUGAGCUCCACCAUUAGCUACCUUUGUGACCUUGGGCAGGUUAUUUAGUUUGCUGG